rnacentral:pre_miRNA from 1 species
UCAAUACUCACUCCGUCCAACAAAAGAUGUCUCAUGCUUGUUAAAAUUUAGAUAUAUCUAGACAUGACUUAAUGUAUGAUGCAUUCAAAUUUAGUCAAAGUUGAGAUCCUUUGUUGGACAGAGUGAGUACGUU